rnacentral:lncRNA from 1 species
UUUUUCAGGUUAGUGCAGUUGUAGAUAGCCUUAGCUGUGCAUUGCUCUUUUUGCAUCAGUCAAUAUUAUCAGGUGGGCCAGAGGAGUUAUCUAAAGCAUUGGGGCAUUUUGGGAACUUGUGUGAAUUAAACUACUGUAUAAAUAUUUCUUAUAUAUAUUAAGUAUGUCAUGCCACUUAAAUUGUAUGAAUGUAUAUUGUAACUAAGUAGUAAAUUAUGUUUAUAAAGUUAUAUAUAUAUAUAUAUAUAUAUAUUGCUAUUCAAUGGGAAGUUUGAGUUGGGGUGUUACAAUUUGCUUGGAAGAAGGAUGGAUGGUCGCCAAUCCCCAACGUUUGCUUUUCACCAUGAGUCCAGCUAAGAAGACUCAUCACAUAAAAAAGAAGCGCUUUUGGGAAGCACCCCAAAUUUUAUCUUUAAUCUUUAAUAUUUUAACCUUUUGUUUUGAAACAUUUUAUUAGUUUUAGUUUUCAUAUUUUCAGUUUCGAUUUUAUUUUUUUAAUAAGAUUAUUAUUUUCAGAUUCUACCGAGGAGGCACUGAAUUUCCACAACAUCAGCCUCGAUGGAUGAUCAGGGCAGUCCCCUAGAUCUUUUUAUUUUUCUGCAUUUAUUUACUUUAUUUUUCAUACAUGUCAUGCACUUGGAUUGUAUUGCCUUUGUUCUCUUAGUUGAGCAUUCCAUGCGGGGUAUCCAUAACAUUUUACAUUGAGGACAGUGUGUUCUUCAAGUGUGGGGUGCUUAUGGGUAAACCUUAAUCUCUCAUAUGGAUUUUUAAUAUAUCUGAAAUUGCUAUGGCUAGGUGUUGUAUAUUUUUAGGGGAUGUUAGGACACUGUGUUUUUAUGCACUUGAGUAUGCUAUUUUUGAGCUAAUUGAUGACUUGAUUUAUAGAAUUGUAGUUACUUUUCUUUGUUGUUCAUUGUCCUUAGAAAAUAAUUUAUGGUGUUUUACACAUCAACCCUGCCGGGUUAAACCGAUGUUAUUUAAUUAUUUUUUCGAAUUGUCGAAUUUUAACUUAGAACGUUGAUAAUAUCAUAUGCAUGUAUUUCUUAAGUAAUGAUUCAAUUAAUGAUGUUGCGAACCAAAUGCACCUAAUACCACACCUGAAAGUGAGAUUUUGAGCCAGUUGAGCAUUCAUUAUACUUAUGCUCUUUAUAUUUCUUGUUUGAUUGUGCAUUGUACUUAACUUUGCUUCUAGAACUUGCUUUGUAAUGCGUGUUGAAGUUAAAUGAAUAUUGUGAAUACCAUGAGAUGAUUUGGGCGAUUUAGGAUUUACCACAUUUGACCAAAAGCCUAUCACCUUAUGUUUCCAUUAGUUAGCCAGUUUUUGAGCCUUAAUCUUUUCUUCAUAAUCUACACCUAUACACUUCAAUUAUACCAUUCUUUACAUUUAUCUUUCCUUUACCCUUAUGCUGGAAUUUUUUUCUGUGAUUUAUUCAACUUUAUGUGGGAUUAAAAUGCUAGUUGCUAUGUUGGUAAAUUCACUAAAUCUUUUUGAUAUUUUAAAUGCUCCCUUUGAUCCAAUUUGUAUUUGUUAUUCUUUAUGUUUAUUCGAGUUGUAUGCAGCGAUCGCUAAUAAGCUGCUAGUUCAUUAUUAUUCAAAAAAAAAAACAAAAAAAAAAGAGAAAAAAGAAAGAAGAAGAAGAAAAAAAAAGAAUAUAUAAUAAACAAAUCUCUUCAAUUAUUUAUCUUUUUAUUGGAUUUAGAGCAUUUGCGAGCGUUAUUCUAUAAAGUAGGGAUUUUAGUGAAUGAUUCUUUUUGUGAUCUUAGGCAUUUAAUCCUUUGAGCAUAUACUAUUGUUUAUCGCACGAACUCCAGCACUUUCACACUCCUAUCCAAAUCUCCGUACCUUUACUUUAGCCCCAUUUCAACCUUGGUAAAGACCCUUUGAUUUUGGUAUUUACUUAUUCACAGUAGCGAAGAUAUGAUUUAUGAGCAAGCUUAUGGUGAGCGGGUCUUGUGCAUUUGCUUUGAGGGAUUUGUUAUUCAUCUAAUAUACACUUUGAGCGACUUGAGUGAUCCCUGUGAGGCAUUGCUUCAUGAUGUUUGUGUUGAGUUGUCAUUUAAGUUACUCAUGCAUUAAUAUUAUUUCCAUUCUUUGUUAAUGAUUUGUAAUUUGAUUUAUGAUUGAGUAUCCUUUGAGAUGUGUUGAAUACUCUCUGUUGUGGACUAGGGACAUAAACUUUAUAUUUUAAUGUUAUAAAAAUAAUUAGAAAAUUAUUAAUAGAUAAAUAAUAAUUAAUAGUAUUAUAUAAUUUUUUAUUAUAUUUAGCUACCAUUUUAUUGCAAUAAGUAUUUAGUAAUAUCAUUUUAUUUGAUUUAUAUUUAAUAUUAUAAUAUAUUAAUAUCAUCAUUUUAUUUGAUUAGUAUUUAAUAUCAUAAUAAAUUCUUAUAUGUGUCACAUUAGAAGUCUUAUGUAUUUCCUUUAUUGUCAUUAUAUGACGUGAUUUUAUAAAAUAUUACAAAGUGGAGUCUCAUAGGAAAUCUUGGCCUACUUUAUAUAUAUUGUAUAAUUAUUUUAUUUUUUUAUAUUUAAUUUUUUUAUAUUAUAUAUAUAAUUUAAUAUAUAUUAAUAUUAGUAUAAAAUAUAAAUUUUACUUUUAUCUUUAUGAUAUUCCUAUUUACAUCUAAUUAGUCAUUUAAGAAUAUUACAUAAUAUAUGUAACACCCGGAAUUUUUUUAUAUAUUUAAUAAUGAGUUUUUAUUUAAGUUAAUUUUAGCUUUAUUUUUAUUCGGUUUAAUUGGAAUGAUUUAAAUACAAAUUUUGAAUGUUCAUGUUAGAUAAAUAAAUGAGUUAUUUUCCAUAUCCAAUUAGUUUGAUUUUUAAGGAGUAAUUAAGUAAAAUAUUUGAGAAAUGAUUAUAUUUUGGUUAUUCAAAUUUUUUUCCAAAUGCAUAUUUAUAUAAGUAAAAUUAUAUAUUGAAAAAUUUUGGAAGAAAUUAUAAAGGAUGUUUUUAUAAAAGAAUUUUGGGAGAAUUGGUAUUAUAAUUGAUUAGUAGUAUUAAAUUUUGAGUUGGAAAUUGAUUAUUUAAUUUAAUUGUGUGUAGGAUUUAAUUGGAGGAUUAUUUUGGAAUAAGGAUUAAAAGUAUAAUUUUAUUUUUGUGAGGGUUUUAAUGGAAAUUUGUGAGCUUGGUAUUUUUGUAAAUAAAUAUGUCGGUCAAGGGUAUUUUUGUAAUUGUGUAUUUUCAAUAAUUCGGUUUUGGCCCAAAUUAAAUAGUUAAGGGCUUAAUUGAAAGGCUAAAAAGAAGUUUGGGGGUCAAAUUGGAAUUCUGCGGGAUGAAAUUGUAAGUAAUUAAGAAAGUUGAGGGACCAAGUUGUAAUAAGGAAAAGUUCGGGGGCUUAAUGUCGAUAUUGAAAGAAAUGGAAUCGGGGAGAGAGAAGGUAGAGAGAGAGAGAGAGAGAGAGAGAGAGUGCGGCGCCGGGAAGAGAGAGAGAGGGACGCUGCAGGCGUCGGUGGCGAGCUCCGGGGGCGCGGAGCGGCGUGCGCUGGCGAGCGCAGCGGCGGCGGCAGCAGCG